UACGUAGGGUGCGAGCGUUGUCCGGAAUUAUUGGGCGUAAAGAGCUCGUAGGCGGUGUGUCACGUCGGCCGUGAAAACCUGCAGCCUUAACUGUGGGCGUGCGGUCGAUACGGGCAUCACUGGAGUUCGGCAGGGGGAGACUGGAAUUCCUGGUGUAGCGGUGAAAUGCGCAGAUAUACAGGAGGAACACCGAUGGCGAAGGCAGCUCGCUGGGACGGUACUGACGCUGAGGCGCGAAAGCGUGGGGAGCGAACAGG
rnacentral:rRNA from 1 species